UACGUAGGGUGCAAGCGUUGUCCGGAUUUAUUGGGCGUAAAGAGCGUGUAGGCGGCCUGGUAGGUCAGCUGUGAAAACUCGAGGCUCAACCUCGAGACGCCGGUUGAAACCAUCAGGCUAGAGUCCGGAAGAGGAGAGUGGAAUUCCCGGUGUAGCGGUGAAAUGCGCAGAUAUCGGGAAGAACACCCGUGGCUAAGGCGGCUCUCUAGUACGGUACUGACGCUGAGACGCGAAAGCGUGGGGAGCGAACAGG
rnacentral:rRNA from 1 species